CGCGCCCACUUUUUCAAACUUAUCCGGGCUUGUGAUUGGAUAGUGGGCGGAGCAAAGAACGUGGUUGGGCAGAGACCGGGAAGCCGGCGUUUGCAGAGGCCGCGGGAUGGUCAUUGGACCAGCCGCGAUGCAGAUUCGAAUUGGGGGGCGGUUGACGGUUCGAAUGCCUCGCCGUGAGUUGCGUUGGGGCGCAGGCGCAAAUAGAGGGAGCGCCGCUUCGAAAUGCCGCAUCGGCCGCGGGCGCUACGUAAGCAGUCCUACGCCAUCGUCGCAGACUCGAAUAAAUGCGUUGUAGCCUAGGUCGGAUAUAUACAUUGAAAUCAGUGGACCUGAGUAAGACAUGUCUACUAAUUUUAAUGGAUCUAACGUUGGAUAUAAUCCAUAGUUUUUGCCGCCUCACGUGAUAUUUACUGCAGAAUUGGCAGAGGUGCCAAGUGAUAUACUUUGGAACUGCCUGCAUCUUGACAUCAAGGAGCCUUCGCUUCUCUUUCUCUCUCUCUUUUGAAGCCUAAUAAAAACAUAUGUCUUUAAGCAAGCCUAUCCAGGCAUGUAGAAUGUUGACACAGGUUUUAAUGCAUUGUUUAUGUUGAUUUUAAUUAUUUGAAUGCUUUAAAUAGUAUAUAACUUUUUACUGAUGAUUUUGUUGUUUCAUCCUUUUUUGUAAGUCAAGCAAUAUAUACACCUUCCAAAAUAAAUAUGUAAUAAUGAUAGUAAUAAGUGAAGUUUCUGAGUAGGACUGCACAACACUGUACAUCUGGAGUAAUAAACCUCCGCCCUAGCUUGCUA